AUUGAACGCUGGCGGAAUGCUUUACACAUGCAAGUCGAACGGCAGCACGGACUUCGGUCUGGUGGCGAGUGGCGAACGGGUGAGUAAUACAUCGGAACGUGCCCAGUCGUGGGGGGUAACGUAGCGAAAGCUACGCUAAUACCGCAUACGAUCUAAGGAUGAAAGCGGGGGAUCGCAAGACCUCGCGCGAUUGGAGCGGCCGAUGGCAGAUUAGGUAGUUGGUGGGGUAAAGGCUCACCAAGCCGACGAUCUGUAGUUGGUCUGAGAGGACGACCAGCCACACUGGGACUGAGACACGGCCCAGACUCCUACGGGAGGCAGCAGUGGGGAAUUUUGGACAAUGGGCGCAAGCCUGAUCCAGCCAUUCCGCGUGCAGGAUGAAGGCCCUCGGGUUGUAAACUGCUUUUGUACGGAACGAAAAGGCUCUGGUUAAUACCUGGGGCUCAUGACGGUACCGUAAGAAUAAGCACCGGCUAACUACGUGCCAGCCGCCGCGGUAA
rnacentral:rRNA from 1 species